rnacentral:lncRNA from 10 species
CACUGAGCCCCAGGCGACAUAACUUGCUCCUCCAGGCAAUACACAGUGAAUGGGAGAACCCCUUCACAGAGCUGAAUGAUGCAGUCCUGGCCCUUGUCAGACUCACGGGAGGAGGGUGUUAGUGCAGGGAGCAGGGACUGUAGAAUUAAAGAAAUGUGGACAUGGCUGACAGAGAGGAGUCCCAUCAGCUGAACUGAGCACCUAGGUGCCUGAACCCCAGUCCAAGCCCCCAGUUUCUUUCCCCUAGACCUGGUCCUGCCCUUAGCCUCACUGGCCCCAUCUGUAAAAUGGGCAGAGGGUUCCAGCCUCCCGGUUUCCUCCCUAGGCCCACAGCUGCCCAACCUGGUUCCCCCUCUUGCCCCCACCUUGCCUAAACGUCCUUCCAAAGGUUCAUUCAUCCCACAAGCCUUUAUUGAUUUUCUCCUACAUGCUAGACAGGGUGCUGGAGUGCUAGACGCUGGAGGGGGCCUUCCCAGUCUGGUGGGGGAGGCAGAUGUGCAAGUAAGAAUAAGCCUGGACAGGCAGAGUGUGAUAGAGCUAGGAUGUCAAGAUGGACCUUUUCGAUCCUGGGUGACAGCCAGGUCUUAAUGACCCUGCUGCCAGGGACCUGCCAUCCACUCCUGGCUGCCCGUGUCCAAGAUGUCCCCCCAGUGCCCCUGCCCCACCCCAGCUGGGCCCAAAACAUUCCCCAUGAUGAAUCAGCAGGAAAGAAUGCUCCCAGCCUCGGGUCAGUGGCAGCAGCCCAGCUCCUCCCCCAGGGACAAUGAGGCAGCUGUGGGCUUGGGUGCCAGGUAUGCCUAAGCCCUCUCCUAGGGCCCAGCCACCUCUCAUGCUGAGCCAGAAGCAACACAGAGGGUUCGGAAACGUGGGCUCUGCCUGCUGCCAAUCACUCACCAGGCCUGGCUGCCCAGAACUAAAAAUACCCUGGAGCGCAGGGGCGGGCGGAGGAUAGAGACCAGGGAAUGAAUGGAUGUUGCCCGGAAGUCCUUUAAUUUGCACAACUCUGGGCAGAGGCCAAGGCUGGGAAGCAGUGGAAGUGGGGAUCUCUAAGGCAUGCGCUGUGAGCCCCCAACCCUGAGAAGUGAGGGGCUCUGGUCCCAGCCCCAGCCCAUGGCGUACUAACAGUGGGAUUUUCUCGGCUGAGUUGUCAUCUCCUCAUCCUUAAAUGUGAUUGCUGUAGGGGUCAGAUGGGACCACUGGAUUCAUCUCAAUCAGCUUUCAUUUGAUUGAGAAAGCCCUCUUCUUCCCUCCUGCCUGGCUAUGUUCACCCGGCCUCAGCCCAGCGCCUGUGACCCUCUCCAUACUCUUUAUAUAAUGGUCUGUGUCUGCCUUAACUCUGGACACCCCCACCCACCCCCGAGCUUCUUAUUUAUCUCUAAACCCAGAUCCUGUCACAGAGCUUGACACAUAGCAAGUGCUCCAGAAGUGCUCACGGAUUGAAUAAAUGGACCUAGCGGUGCGUGCCAGUUUCUGGUCCCCAAGGUGAUACAGACAAGCCAGAGGUGCUUCCUAUCUUGUCCUCAAGGAAUUUGCAGAGUGGUGGGGGAGACAGAGCCACAAUCAACCAGCAGGACAAGGCAUCAUCACCAUUAUCAUCAUCAUGGCUGGCUGGGGUCGAAAAACCGGUGGACAAUGCUUUCAUCAUCUCCUGUUUACACAAUGAAACUGGGACACAAAGGGGUUAAGUGACUUGGCCAACAUCACACAGCUGUUAUCUGCAGAUGGGAGCAAGUGAUCAAUGACGGCGAAAGCACAGGGCUGUGUGGAUGCUGGGCAGGGAAGUCUGAGGGUUGAAGCCUUCCCAGAAGUGCCUUGGAAGGUGGAUCUGAUACACUGGGUAGAGAGGGGGGAAAGUGGAGUGGUCAGGAAUAACACUUUACGAUGUUGUGGAAGCCGUGAAGCACCAUGCAGGUGUCUGGAGUUACCGCAGCUCCCCUGAUCCCUCAGCCAGUACCCAGGGACUUGGAUGUGUAAGCAUCACCUCUCCCUGCCUCCUCCCAGGGAAAGGAGCUAACAUGAAUCUCUUCCCCAUGGGGUGCUUCUCAACCCUCCCUUCCUGCCUAAGUCAGGGUCUGUACUUUCCUCCCAAGUGGGAAGGCCAGAAUCUCCUGCAGAAAGCGGUGGCCUCCAGGGUGCACCUGGUUGAACCCAGUAGUGACCCUGGUGGAGUGCCCAGUGCCCAUGCCUGCUGGCAAACUUCCUCCUCAGCAGCCUUCAGGACUCAGUUCUAGCCUCAUCUCCUCUGUGACUCAGUAUGGAGGAAACUGUACAGCUUUAAAACUGGGCAACCUGAGUUCUAGCUCUGCUUCUGAAUUGUGUGGCCUCGGGUAAGUUAUUUUGCUGUGCCUAAGGUACUGCCUCCUGCAUCUAUUUGUCCUGCCGUUGCAUUCCUGCCUCCUCUAACACUCAGUGCUGUGGCAACAGCCCCCAAACUGCUCUCAGUUUUUCCCUGCAUCUCACUGUUCCUGACGUCAGUCUUUCUAAAGUGUUGUCUUGCUCUAGCUCAAGAAUCUUUAAUUGCUCACUACUGCCCACAGGAGAGAAGGAAUCUCCAGUUGCCUCUACUCACUUCAUUUUCCAUAUUCUACCUACCCUUCAGGCCUAACUCCGAUUCCAACUCCUCCGUGAUAUCUCCCAUGAAAACUUGCAUGAAUGCUCUCAAAGUAGAAGGUGCUGGAAGAGUCACAGAGCCAAACCAGACACAGUGUUUGCCCUCAAGGAGCUCACUGUCUAGUGAGAGAGAUGACUCAAAGACAUAGCUUGAUGGAACGUAGAUUGUAAUAACAGAAAGUAGGACAAAUGGGGAGAACAAGCCAUUUUGGCCAAGGACAGGCUCCUCCUUUGUUGAGAGCUGUUUAUCCAGAAACAGGGCUUUUGUUCAGGGAGAGGAUGGGAGCUGAGAGGGUUUUGUAAGAUCAUGAAGUUGGGGAAGUGGGGAGGGUGGAUCUAGGAAGCCUGGAGGGGCUAGUCAAGGAUACGGUUUCUAGGGAGAAAGGAGAGAUGAGCUGGUUGCAGUAAGGAGAGGAAAUUUGGCGGAAGAGCAGAGCUGGUUAAAAAGAAAUUCUAGGAAGUUUGGGUUUGUGAUAGGCAAAGUCACCCUCUCCCCUGUUCUGUGAAAGCUUCAGAAACCCCGCAUAAGUCAAUCAAGUUUGGAGCUGGACAGGCCCACCCCAGCAUUUGCAGGGCCCAGGGCAAGACUCAAGGGAGGCCUUAUGCCAUGAGUCAAGUAUUUUAAAGCCAUCAACCAAAUGAAUCCAUUGUUAAGUCAAUCAUGGUCUAGCCUCCCACCUUGACAAAUAUACCUUUGGAAAGACCUGGAAGGUCAGGUUUGCAUUCACAACUUUCCACUCCUCGGAGUUCUGUAUGGAACACGCUAUGACAAGAGUGUCUGCCUCUGGCCUUGCACCCUGGUGUGUCCGUCCGCACCAUAUUCUGCCCAUCCCACACAGCAAGGGGCCUUCUGCUGUGACAGACAUGCAACACCGUCGGCUCUGUGCAGACCUCCCACAGACAGCUGUCCUGUGGCUGCCCCAUGCCUGGGUGCACACUCUGGCACAGGCACAGGCUGCACUCAAGAGGAAGGUCUAGAAGUGGGCUCUGGCCUCCUGGGCAAAGAAUUCCAAGAGCAUGGGUUUGAAAAUCGAGUGGAAGUUCCUCCUUGCCCUGUGACGGGGGGUGGGGCGUGGAGGGAGUGUAAUUGACAAGGGCCACGGUGAUGCCCUCUGUAGCAGGAGGACCAGAGCAGGGACCCUUGCCCAGGUCUAAG